rnacentral:lncRNA from 1 species
UGGGUAGGGCCAGACAAGAGAAUAAAAGCAGGCUGCCGGAGCUGGCAGUAGCAAUUGGCUGGGGUGUUUUUCCGCUCUGUGGGAGAUUUGUUCUUUCGCUUUUUGGGUCCACGCUGCGUUUGUGAGCUGUAACACCGUGAAGGUCUGCAGCUUCACUCCUGAAGUCAGGCGAGAAGACUACGAACCCACCUGGAGGAACGAACAACUCCAGACUCGCCGCAUUAAGAGCGGUAACACCGCGAAGGUCUGCAGCUUCACUCCUGAGCCAGCGAGAUCACGAACCCACCGGAAGGCUGUAACAUAUCUGAACAUCAGAAGGAACAAACUCCGGACAGGCCGCCUUCAGGAACUGUAACACUCACCGCGAGGGUCCGUAGCUUCAUUCUUGAAGUCAGUGAGACCAAGAGCCCACCAAUUCCGGACACAACAGGACACACUGCGGCUUCUCCUGGCUUUUUCAAAGUUCAGCCCAAGAGGAAGAGAGACCUAAUUAAUACCCAGGAGAUGGUGGUGUUUAUUUUUUCCAGCUGGGACAACUAAGGCCCCGAGAGGAGAAAGGGACUAUCCGGGGUACAGAGGCCACUGAGUCAGAGCUAGGACCAACAUAUCACCAGCUCUCCCUCUUCAGCGCAGACCCCAACUCACCAGCGGUGGCUUCCUGAAGAGCUGGGUUAAGGAGGAUUCUGAGGUGCAGCAGAGCUCGCUAAGAGGCUGACGGGUAAGGGGUGCUGCGCUGUGAGCACAGGAGCCAGUGACACAGAUCAGAUGCUGCUGCUGUCGUGGCUGCCACCACAAGAAACAAGAGUGUUGGAGUGCAAAUUCAUUAUCCAGCUGUUAAGAGCGACAGAGCAUGCACACAUCUCUCCCCGACCGGGUUAUCUGAGAGCCAGCCCUGCUGUAUGAUUGAGUGGCUGCCAGCCUCCUCUUCUCUGUAACCUUGACACGCCAGAGCCGGGCCUCCAGUGCACAGGCUAAAAAUCCUAAAGGCAACGGCGGCGGCAACAAAUAGAUGGGUUAAUUUGUUUCAUGCCCCCGUUGUCACCAGGCUCUCGCAGAAUAAAACCACCACCACCACCACCACAACCUCCAUUUGUGGGGUUUAAUACCCCAGCUGCUGGGAAUCAGAUUCAGCCGGAGGAAGAAAAUGUGACGUCGAUGCAGAGAUCCAUUUAUUCGGUGAUGUUUGCUUAAAAACCGGUUUUUCAUCUGCAGGUUAUUCUUGCACGCUUGGACCUCAAGCAACACAAUAUCACAUUUCCAGGUGGUAUCUUUAAGGAAAGCUAAUUAAGACUCUUGGCACUUGUAGGAUGAAACAUUUUACAAUUUUCUUCAAAGCAAUUUGCCAACAUUAGCUAAUUAAAACACCCAGCCUUCCAUUGAGGGACAAUGGGAAGAGCAUACAAUUGUCAUUUCUGAGCAUCUGUUGUACGGAUAGAAAUCCAAAUUCCUGUUGCUUCUACUUGGUCAAUGUCCUUCUCUGAAGGUGGCCUUUCAUGGUUUUUCUGCAACCUGCAUUUAGGAGCAUUUAGAAGAAGAUUCCAGCUUUUCUAGCACUUAGCCUCUAAAAUAAAGAACAACACAGGGAAAGGAGUUUGAGCAAUUGAGGCUGGUCUGCUAAGCCAGGGGUUGGCAAACUAUGGCCCAAGGGCUAAAUCCAGCCCUUGACCUUUCUUUAAAGUUUUAUUGGAAUACAGCCAUGCUCAUUGGUUUACAUAUUGUUUCUGGCUACUCUCAAGCUAAAACAGCAGGGUUAAGUGACUGCUAGAGAAAGUAUAAGGCCUAGAAAGCUGGAAAUAUUUUUACUGUCUGGCCCUUUAUGAAAACAGUUUGCAGACCUCUGCAUUCAGCGGUCUGUUGCAUCUGCCUAUGAUUUUCCCGCUCUGCAGGCCAAACUACCCCAUUCCCAGUUGUUGAUUGGACAGCUCUUUUCCCAUGGUGUCAUUACUGUUAUUAAGUGUCUAGGCCCCAAAUGAAGGUCUCCAAAGAAGUGUCU